UCCGUUUGAUCCUGCCAGAGGUUACUGCUAUCGGUGUUCGACUAAGCCAUGCAAGUCAUAUGUUCUCCGUGAACAUGGCAUACUGCUCAGUAACACGUGGAUAACCUGCCCUUGGGUCUGGGAUAACCCCGGGAAACUGGGGAUAAUACCGGAUAACGCAUAUGUGCUGGAAUGCUUUAUGCGUAAAACGGAUUCGUCCGCCCAAGGAUGGGUCUGCGGCCUAUCAGGUAGUAGUGGGUGUAAUGUACCUACUAGCCAACAACGGGUACGGGUUGUGAGAGCAAGAGCCCGGAGAUGGAUUCUGAGACAUGAAUCCAGGCCCUACGGGGCGCAGCAGGCGCGAAAACUUUACAAUGCGGGAAACCGUGAUAAGGGAACACCGAGUGCCAGCAUCAUAUGCUGGCUGUCCAGAUGUGUAAAGUACAUCUGUUAGCAAGGGCCGGGCAAGACCGGUGCCAGCCGCCGCGGUAACACCGGCGGCCCGAGUGGUGACCGUUGUUAUUGGGUCUAAAGGGUCCGUAGCCGGUUUGGUCAGUCCUCCGGGGAAUCUGAUAGCUUAACUGUUAGGCUUUCGGGGGAUACUGCCAGGCUUGGAACCGGGAGAGGUAAGAGGUACUACAGGGGUAGGAGUGAAAUCUUGUAAUCCCUGUGAGACCACAUGUGGCGAAGGCGUCUUACCAGAACGGGUUCGACGGUGAGGGACGAAAGCUGGGGGCACGAACCGGAUUAGAUACCCGGGUAGUCCCAGCCGUAAACUAUGCUCGCUAGGUGUCAGGCAUGGCGCGACCGUGUCUGGUGCCGCAGGGAAGCCGUGAAGCGAGCCACCUGGGAAGUACGGCCGCAAGGCUGAAACUUAAAGGAAUUGGCGGGGGAGCACAACAACGGGUGGAGCUUGCGGUUUAAUUGGACUCAACGCCGGACAACUCACCGGGGACGACAGCAAAAUGUAGGCCAGGCUGAAGACCUUGCCUGAAUCGCUGAGAGGAGGUGCAUGGCCGUCGCCAGUUCGUACUGUGAAGCAUCCUGUUAAGUCAAGCAACGAGCGAGACCCA
rnacentral:rRNA from 1 species